rnacentral:tRNA from 1 species
UAAAGGUAAGCAUUUAUGUAAUCAGUUUCGACCUGAAAGAAGAAAUUAAUAUUUCACUUUUAU